rnacentral:rRNA from 1 species
AUUGAACGCUGGCGGCAGGCCUAACACAUGCAAGUCGAACGGUAGCACAGAGAGCUUGCUCUUGGGUGACGAGUGGCGGACGGGUGAGUAAUGUCUGGGAAACUGCCCGAUGGAGGGGGAUAACUACUGGAAACGGUAGCUAAUACCGCAUAACGUCUUCGGACCAAAGUGGGGGACCUUCGGGCCUCACACCAUCGGAUGUGCCCAGAUGGGAUUAGCUAGUAGGUGGGGUAACGGCUCACCUAGGCGACGAUCCCUAGCUGGUCGGAGAGGAUGACAAGCAACACUGGAACUGAGACACAGUCCAAACUCCUAGGGGAGGAAGCAGUGGGGAAUAUUGCCCAAAGGGCGCAAGCCUGAUGCAGCCAUGCCGCGUGUAUGAAGAAGGCCUUCGGGUUGUAAAGUACUUUCAGUGGGGAGGAAGGCGAUGGAGUGAAUAGCUUCGUCGAUUGACGUUACCCGCAGAAGAAGCACCGGCUAACUCCGUGCCAGCCGCCGCCGUAA